rnacentral:tRNA from 1 species
AAGAGAUUAGUUAAAACUAUAACAUUAAUUUGUCAAAUUAAAAUUAUUAAUUAAUAUCACUUA